rnacentral:rRNA from 2 species
GCCUGUAAGACUGGGAUAACUCCGGGAAACCGGGGCUAAUACCGGAUGGUUGUUUGAACCGCAUGGUUCAGACAUAAAAGGUGGCUUCGGCUACCACUUACAGAUGGACCCGCGGCGCAUUAGCUAGUUGGUGAGGUAACGGCUCACCAAGGCAACGAUGCGUAGCCGACCUGAGAGGGUGAUCGGCCACACUGGGACUGAGACACGGCCCAGACUCCUACGGGAGGCAGCAGUAGGGAAUCUUCCGCAAUGGACGAAAGUCUGACGGAGCAACGCCGCGUGAGUGAUGAAGGUUUUCGGAUCGUAAAGCUCUGUUGUUAGGGAAGAACAAGUGCCGUUCAAAUAGGGCGGCACCUUGACGGUACCUAACCAGAAAGCCACGGCUAACUACGUGCCAGCAGCCGCGGUAAUACGUAGGUGGCAAGCGUUGUCCGGAAUUAUUGGGCGUAAAGGGCUCGCAGGCGGUUUCUUAAGUCUGAUGUGAAAGCCCCCGGCUCAACCGGGGAGGGUCAUUGGAAACUGGGGAACUUGAGUGCAGAAGAGGAGAGUGGAAUUCCACGUGUAGCGGUGAAAUGCGUAGAGAUGUGGAGGAACACCAGUGGCGAAGGCGACUCUCUGGUCUGUAACUGACGCUGAGGAGCGAAAGCGUGGGGAGCGAACAGGAUUAGAUACCCUGGUAGUCCACGCCGUAAACGAUGAG